AGCUUGAUGAUGACUGUCUCCUAUGAUUGCCUUUGUUAUAGCAAAGUGAACAAAUCAUUUCACCGGCACUGAAAGCA
ensembl:snoRNA